AUUGAACGCUGGCGGCAGGCCUAACACAUGCAAGUCGAACGGCAGCACAGAAGAGCUUGCUCUUUGGGUGGCGAGUGGCGGACGGGUGAGUAAUGUCUGGGAAACUGCCCGAUGGAGGGGGAUAACUACUGGAAACGGUAGCUAAUACCGCAUAACGUCGCGAGACCAAAGUGGGGGACCUUCGGGCCUCACACCAUCGGAUGUGCCCAGAUGGGAUUAGCUAGUAGGUGGGGUAAUGGCUCACCUAGGCGACGAUCCCUAGCUGGUCUGGGAGGAUGACCAGCCACACUGGAACUGAGACACGGUCCAGACUCCUACGAGAGGCAGCAGUGGGGAAUAUUGCACAAUGGGCGCAAGCCUGAUUCAGCCAUGCCGCGUGUAUGAAGAAGGCCUUCGGGUUGUAAAGUACUUUCAGCGGGGAGGAAGGCGGUGAGGUUAAUAACCUUGCCGAUUGACGUUACCCGCAGAAGAAGCACCGGCUAACUCCGUGCCAGCCGCCGCCGUAA
rnacentral:rRNA from 1 species